rnacentral:rRNA from 1 species
GGCGAACGCUGGCGGCGUGCUUAACACAUGCAAGUCGAACGGAAAGGCCCUGCUUUUGUGGGGUGCUCGAGUGGCGAACGGGUGAGUAACACGUGAGUAACCUUCCCUUUACUUUGGGAUAACUUCAGGAAACUGGGGCUAAUACCGGAUAGGAGCUCCUGCUGCAUGGUGGGGGUUGGAAAGUUUCGGCGGUUGGGGAUGGACUCGCGGCUUAUCAGCUUGUUGGUGGGGUAGUGGCUUACCAAGGCUUUGACGGGUAGCCGGCCUGAGAGGGUGACCGGCCACAUUGGGACUGAGAUACGGCCCAGACUCCUACGGGAGGCAGCAGUGGGGAAUAUUGCACAAUGGGCGGAAGCCUGAUGCAGCAACGCCGCGUGCGGGAUGACGGCCUUCGGGUUGUAAACCGCUUUCGCCUGUGACGAAGCGUGAGUGACGGUAAUGGGUAAAGAAGCACCGGCUAACUACGUG